ACAGUCCGGGUGGACCCAAAGCUCCGUGGCGGUGCUGAACUUUAGGGCAGCCACUAGCCACGGACUUAAGCGGCAAUUGAGCUCCUCAAAGUGGUGCCCUAAAGAAGGAAGCUUGAAUGCCCCUGGGGAUAAGAGGCUUAUUACCAGAGGGACACUCCCAGAUCCUCCCAGCACACCUGUAGACACCUCCUGCACACCCUCGGCGGCCCGGUGACAGCCAUCCACAAGCUGGCGGGUCCAGGCAGCCAGCUCCUGCGGUGACUCCACGCUGAACAGGUGAGUGUCCACACCGUGACGCGUGCCCGUGCGCAGGGCAAAAGAGAGCUCUGCAUCGUAGGGCACUGAGCCCUUGGAGGGGCCUGAGUGCACCAGUCUGGGGGUUGGGGGCAGAGGGCUGAGCAUGAGGCCUCAGGCCGGAGGCAAAUAGUUCUGGGCAAAGGGGCCAGUGACCUGGGAAGAAACCCUGUAAAUCCUUUACCACCUAACAGGACAGGACUUGCCAGGGGGCACUGAUUGACUCAGCAGGAGACAUCUCCUGCCACCCUCCCCGUCACUCCCUUGGCUCUGGCUAUACUGGUGUCAUCACACACACCUAGCACAUGCCUGCCUCAGCACCUUUGCAUAUGCUCUUCCCUCUGCCUAUACAUGCUUCCCUGAUUAUCUGCACGGCUCACUCCCUCACUUCCUUCAGAUGUUAGUUUAAAUGUCACCUCCUCUGAGAAGCCUUCCCUGACCUCCCAGUCCAAAAUAGCACCCUUGUCACUCACUAGCCUUACUUUUUAAUCAUGGUACCAGAAAUUAUACUUUUUAUUAUUUGUUUUCGUUGGUUUUUGACUGUCUUUUUCACUAGAAUGUCAACUAGGUUAGAAAUUUUGAUCUUGUGUUCACCACUGUAUUCCCAGUAACUAAAACCAUGCCUGCCCACAGUAGGUGCUCAGUAAACUUUUGUUGCCUAACUUGAAUCACUUGAUUAGGCAGACAGUCCAGGACCUAGUUAUCCCUAGUAGCCAGCAGGCUCCUGACACACGGGCCAGAGCCAGCCUGAGGUAAGGAGACAUGGGGGACAAGGACUUCAGACCCCUGCAGCUUGACUCUCACUUGCUGUGUGGCCUUGGUAAGCCAACUGCCCCUCUCUGGGGCAGAAAGUUCUGCCCCAUAUCCCUCUUUGUUCCUCCCUCCACCCACUCUUUCUCCUAUAGCUCAGUUCCCCCCGCCACAGACUGCUGCUGACACCCGCCUUCGACUUUCCAGCCCUGAGCUGCAGACCCUCGAGUCCCCAGGCUUCCUAUCCAAGCUCCCUCUCCAUCCCACACACACUCUGGACUUAACUCAGCAUCUUGCUCCAGCCUCCUCCCUUUCCACCCCCACCCCCAGUCCCACGCUCACCCAGACACAAGCUCCAAACCUCCUGUUCAUUCCGGACCCCUCCUUCACCCGCCCCAUCUGGCAAGCACGGAGCCCUGUUAAUUUUACACCCAUGUGGUUUCCAAUGCCAAUGCUGCCUUUCUUCCCCAUCUGCUCCUGCCACCCACCUCCACCUCCCCCAGCCACCAUCAUCUCUCCUGCAUGACUGCAGCACCUCCCCACUUCCAUCCUGCACUCUCCGCUGCAUUCUCCACGUGGCAGCCACAGGGAUUCUCUUAAAGCAACCAGAGCACCUCGCUCCCCAGCUUAAACCCUUCAACACUACCAAACUCUUAAGCUAAAGCUAACAUUCCUUAAUCAGGCAAUAGAAGCUCUUCAAGAUCAGGCCCUGCCAACUCCCUUCUCUCCAUUUCCUGCAUGAAUUCUGGUUAUCACAAACUCAUAGCUCCAUGAACAUGCUAUAGCCCUUCAUGCCUCUGUACUUUUGACCAUGAUGUUCUCUCUGCAUGGGAUGCUCUUUCACCCUUUCUUAAACAGAAAACUUCUACUCAUCCAUCAAAGUCCAGCUCAAAUGUCACCUCCUCCCUGAAGCCUUCCUCUACUACCCCAACAGAGUUAAGUGGCUCCUACAAACCCUGCACUGUAAUGGCUGUUCCUGGGUCUGUCUCCCCAGCCAGACAAGGUUCUCUCUGGAGGCAGAAACUGUUGGGGUCAGCUCUGUGCCCUCUGAACCAUGCAGCACAAGGCAUAAGUGUCAGCGAAUGAGUGGCUAAUGGGGACCUUAUAUCCUUUUGUUCCAAGCACCCAUUUUACAGAUGAGGAAACUGAGGCCCAGACAGGGCAGAGACUUGCUUCAGGUCACCUGGGGAAUAGCUGAGGGUGGACAGGGCUGGAGUUCCCAGCUUCUGGGGCCCUGCUGGAGCAUCUCCUGGCAAGUUCUGGGGGAGACAUACUGCCCCUGCCUGUGGGUACCUGGUGGCGAUGAGUGGGGCAGUACGGGCUGGCCGGCUCAGGGCCUCGCGGGUCUCGGGGAGAGACAAGUAGAGGAGCAGUUCCUUUUCAGUUAGCAGGGCCAGGGUGGGGGCUGUGCCCCCACUGGGCAGCUGCAGAGAACAAAACAGCAGUGAGGAUGGGUGGGGGAAGAGAGGGCAGAGGGCCAGGGCAGGGUGAGGUGGCCAGGGGCACUGGGAACAGGGCCAGCUCCAAAGGAGCGGAAGAGAGAGAGGGAUAGGUCCCAGGCCCAGCAGGUACCUGCUCAGUUAGCCAGCCAAUCUGCUUGAUGUCCUGGCUCCCAGCUGUGCUGGUGGCUGCCAACAGUGCCUGCAGCUCAUCCUUGACCCGCGGCGUCAGAGUAUUGACCUGGGCUUGGAUGGCAGUCGCCCACGACCUCGCACUAGCCUCAUCCUUGGCCCUCAGGAAGAGGGUGUCUUGACCAUCUGCCGAGCAGAUCUCCAGAUACCUGCAGGCACAAAUGGGUGGAGACAAGGACCUGACCAUUAGGCUGCAGCUGCCCAACCCUGGCCCAAGAAACCCCACCCACCACCAAACCAGGAGAAACCAGGGGGAUGUCCGUGAGAGAAUCAGGAGCAACCCUCACUGCUGGGCUCCAGCCACAGUUGCUGGGGCUUCAUGGGGCAUAGGAACAAGCGAGUGUGACAUAUACACACGUGUUCAUAUAUUUUGUGGGGUUUUUGUUGUUGUUUUUGAAACAGAGCCUCGCUCUGUCACCCAGGCUGCACUGCAAUGGCCCAACCUCUGCCUCCCAGGUUCAAGUGAUUCUCCUGCCUCAGCCUCCCAAGUAGCUGGGAUUACAGGCACACGCCACCACACCCAUAUAAUUUUUGUAUUUUUAAUAGAGAUGGGGUUUCACCAUGUUGGCCAGGAUGGUCUCGAUCUCCUGACCCCGUGAUCCGCCUGCCUCAGCCUCCCAAAGUGCUGGGAUUACAGGCAUGAGCCACCAUGCCUGGCCUUAUUUUUUUAUUUUUAGUAGAGAUGGGGUUUCACCAAGUUGGCCAGGCUGGUCUCGAACUCCUGACCUCAAAUGAUCACCCCGCCUUCGCCCUCCAAAGUGCUGGGAUUACAGGCAUGAGCCACCGUGCCCAGCCUACACGUAUGCAGAUACACACAAAUAUACACACACACUGAAACAUGCAUGAUGGUGUAAUAGGGCCUAAAUUAUUGCUGUGUGGCUAUUCCUAAUCUUGCCCCUUUCUCCUGGUUUCUAAGGAACAUCCUCUUCUGGGCCAGCUCCCAGGUUCUCCUUGUUGCACAGAACCAAACUAAUUCACUAAUAAGAGCAGGGGAAAAAAAAAAAAAAAACUAAGCUGGACAUGGUGGCUCACGCCUGUAAUCCCAGAACUUCGGGAGACUGAGCCAGGACGAUGGCUUGAGCCCAGGAGUUCGAGACCAGCCUGGACAACAAAGUGAGACACUCAUCUCUAAAAAAGAAAAAAAAAUUUUUUUUUUAAUUAGCCAGGCAUGGUGACACGUGCCUAUAGUCCCAGCUACUUAGAGGCUGAGGCAGGAGAACCACUUGAGCCCAGGAGUUUGAGGCUGCAGUAAGCUAUAAGGGUGCCAGUGCACUCCAGCCUAGAUGACAGCACAAGACCUCAUCUUAAAAAAACAGAAAAACAGACAGGGUGUGAUGGCUCACGCCUGUAAUCCCAGCACUUUGGGAAGCCAAAGCGGGUGGAUCACCUGAGGUAGGGAGUUCAAGACCAGCCUGAUCAACAUGGAGAAACCCCAUCUCUACUAAAAAUACAAAAUUAGCUGGGUGUGGUGGCACAUGCCUGUAAUCCCAGCUACUAGGGAGGCUGAGGCAGGAGAAUCGCUUGAACCCAGAAAGUGGAGGUUGUAGUGAGCUGAGAUCGUGCCAUUGCACUCCAGCCUGGGCAACAAAAGCGAAACUCCGUCUCAAAAACCAAAAAAAAAAAAAAAAAAAAAAAAAAACAGAAAAACAAAACAACAACAAAACUAAAGAGGCUUGAGGCCAGGCAUGGUGGCUCACACCUGUAAUCCCAGCACUUUGGGAAGCUGAGCCGGGCAGAUCACUUGAGGCCAGGAGUUCAAAACCAACCUAGCCAACAGGGCAAAACCCCAUCUCCUCUAAAAACACAAAAAAUUAGCCAGACGUCAUGGCGGGCACCUGUGGUCCCAGCUACUUGGGAGGCUGAGGCACCAGAAUCACUUGAACCUGGGAAGCAGAGGUUGCAGUGAGCUGAGAUCACACCACUGCACUCCAGCCUGGGUGACAGAGCGAGAUCCCCCAUCUCAAAAAGAAAUAAUAAAUUAUUGUUUUCUAAACCACUAAA